GCCAGAGUCGCUUAGCGGCUGAGCGUCAGCCUGCAGAACUGCUCUCGCAGAAAGUUGAUGACGGGGGUUCGAAUCCCUCCUCUGGCUUCA
rnacentral:tRNA from 1 species